GACGAACGCUGGCGGCGUGCUUAACACAUGCAAGUCGAGCGGAAAGGCCCUUGCGGGGGUACUCGAGCGGCGAACGGGUGAGUAACACGUGAGUAAUCUGCCCUUCACUUGGGGAUAACCUCCGGAAACGGUGGCUAAUACCCGAUACGACCAUUCCUCGCAUGAGGUGGUGGUGGAAAGUUUUUCGGUGGGGGAUGUGCUCGCGGCCUAUCAGCUUGUUGGUGGGGUAAUGGCCUACCAAGGCUUCGACGGGUAGCCGGCCUGAGCGGGUGACCGGCCACACUGGGACUGAGACACGGCCCAGACUCCUACGGGAGGCAGCAGUGGGGAAUAUUGGACAAUGGGCGGAAGCCUGAUCCAGCAACGCCGCGUGAGGGAUGACGGCCUUCGGGUUGUAAACCUCUUUCACCUGUGACGAAGCGAAAGUGACGGUAGCAGGAGAAGAAGCACCGGCCAACUACGUG
rnacentral:rRNA from 1 species